AUGGCCGCCGCGAAGGAGAGCAGCCCUGACCCCGACGCCAGCGCCACCGCCACCGCGGCGCCGCCCACGCCCAUGUCGGCGCCGGCGUCCUUCAAGUUCAACGUGCACGCGCCGGAGUUCGUGCCCAUGUCGCCCACCGCCACGCCCAUGUCCGCGCCGGCGGGCGGGUACUACUCGCCCUUCCUGCAGAUGCAGCCGGCGCCCGACUGGAGCUUCCUCCAUGACCACGAGCCCGUCUUCUUCAUGCCCGACUUCGCGCACGCCAAGUUCGCCGCCGCCGCCGCCGCCAGCAACAGCGCCCAGGCCAAGGGCAACGGCGGCGGCUCCGCCGACGUCGCGCAGAAGAUCGUCAAGCAGGUCGAGUACCAGUUCAGCGACAUUAACCUGGUCGCCAACGAGUUCUUGCUCAAGAUCAUGAACAAGGACUCCGAAGGCUACGUUCCCUUGUCAGUCAUUUCAUCAUGGAAGAAGAUCAAGUCUCUGGGAGCAACCAACCAGAUGCUGGUCAAGGCUCUCCGCACCUCCACGAAGCUUAUUGUGAGCGAUGAUGGGAAGAAAGUUCGGCGCAGGCAGCCCUUCACCGAGAAGCACAAAGAAGAACUUCAGUCUCGGAUGAUCAUAGCGGAGAAUUUGCCAGAGGACUCAUCAAGAAACAGCCUCGAGAAGGUCUUCAGUGUCGUUGGAAGUGUGAAGAACAUCAAGAUAUGCCACCCCCAAGAGCCUAGCUCAGCCAGGGCUUCCAAGUCAGACACACUUGUGAGUAACAAGAUGCAUGCUUUAGUCGAAUAUGAGACCUCACAGCAAGCUGAGAAAGCAGUAGAGAAGCUAAACGAUGAGCGGAACUGGAGGAAAGGCCUCCGUGUGCGCACAGUACUCAGGCGCUCUCCCAAGUCAGUAAUGAGGCUCAAGAGGCCUGAUUUCGACCACUACGCUGGUUCCGAUGACGAAUCGCCACACUCACAGGUGUCAUCCGACUCCCCAACUUCAGAAGCUAUCCAUUCACCUGAAGCUCAUCCAGAGGAUCACCAGAGUGGGGCCAAGAAAGGGUGGGCAAGAGGGCGAGGGAAGCUCCAUAUCGUGGCACCGCACAGCCCGCAGUCUGCUCCCGCAGGCGCAGUCGGCCACUUUGACCCAUCGAGCCCUCGCCAGGCGUCCCAGAAAUGCCCAUUGAGCCCCAGGCAGGUUUCUCAGAAGUGCCCAUUCAGCCCCAGGCAGCCUCCCCAGGGCCCGAGGAUGCCCGACGGGACACGUGGGUUCACAAUGGGCCGGGGGAAGCCAGCGGCAUCAUCCGUGGCAGCCCGGACGGUUGCUGCUCCUCCUCCGGCUCCUGUUCUUGUCUAG
rnacentral:rRNA from 1 species